UACGUAGGGGGCAAGCGUUAUCCGGAUUUACUGGGUGUAAAGGGAGCGUAGGUGGUGCGUCAAGUCAGAUGUGAAAGCCCGGGGCUCAACCCCGGGACUGCAUUUGAAACUGUCGAACUAGAGUGCAGGAGAGGUAAGUGGAAUUCCUAGUGUAGCGGUGAAAUGCGUAGAUAUUAGGAGGAACACCAGUGGCGAAGGCGGCUUACUGGACUGUAACUGACGCUGAGGCGCGAAAGCGUGGGGAGCAAACAGG
rnacentral:rRNA from 1 species